GGAAUAAGUACUACUAACAAGUAUAUUUCCACUAAGCCAGAUUUUUAAUGUUAACGCGUCACUUUUUUUAUCUAUACAAUAAAAUUUACAUUAACAAAAAUAAUUGAAUACGUUUUUACAAUGUGCGCAGCGAUUAUUUUUGUUGGAUUUCAAAAUUGUUACAAGUAUUUCGGGUGCAGUUUCGAAGAGAGGACGCAACAACAAACCAACGUUAACGAUAAACGUUUUUGAACUGGGUAUAAAGUACGUUAUAGUCGUACGCUUGCUGUUGUUGACUAGGUAACACACAAAUCGCAGGUUUUUCACGUUUAUCGUGAUAACUGCGAGAAAAAUCUAAACACGACCUAAAUGCGCAAACCGGAUAGAAAAACGCUACCAGAAUGUCGCUGCG